rnacentral:rRNA from 1 species
UACGUAGGUGGCAAGCGUUGUUCGGAAUUAUUGGGCGUAAAGGGCGCGUAGGCGGCUUGUUAAGUCGGCUGUGAAAGCCCGGGGCUCAACCCCGGAGGGUCAGCCGAUACUGGCAGGCUAGAGUAUGGGAGAGGAAGGUAGAAUUCCAGGUGUAGCGGUGAAAUGCGUAGAGAUCUGGAGGAAUACCGAUGGCGAAGGCAGCCUUCUGGCCUAAUACUGACGCUGAGGUGCGAAAGCAUGGGGAGCAAACAGG